rnacentral:lncRNA from 1 species
CCGCCAUCCAUAAUUGCCAUAUUUUAGUAACAUUCUAGCCUUACUCUUAAAGCCCUAAUUUAAACACAUUUUCAGCCAACCGACACAAUAAAUUGUAGAUCCAUUGAAAGCAACAAAGUUGGCCUUUUCUGACUUUUUUGGCCACUUUGAAAAAUUUUUCAGCUGCUUUAUGUCUUAGGUUCCUCUCUCUCUCUCUCUCUCUCUCUAUUUUUUUAGUAAAAUCUGCCAUAAUUUUUUAAUUGAAAGUUGAGCACUACAAUUCAAGGCCAGGAUUCCUUGGGUGAUGCUUUUCUUCUUUAGUACAAAUGGACAGUCAUACUAAUCUAGUGUAAGAACAGUCCAAUAGAUCAAGAUAUAAAAAAUCCCGCAAAAUCAGUGGACAAUCUCCACCCUAUCUCCAAAUCCAAUCGUU